ensembl:snRNA U6 U6 spliceosomal RNA
GUGCUCGCUUGUGUAGUACGUAUACAAAAAUUGGAAUAAUACAGAGAAGAUUAGCAUGGCUGCUGUGAAGAAUGACACUCAAAUGUACUUUCAUGCCAUUCUA